rnacentral:lncRNA from 1 species
AUGGAGGUGUGCCAGGACCAGGGUACUCAGAAGGGUGGGAAGCUCACAGACCACCUUGCUUUGAGUGCCUCUCAGCCGCUCUCUUGCUCUGUGAUUUUAAGGAAGUCCUUGAACCUCUCUGAGCCUGCUUUUUCCAUCUGCAGAUCGGUGAUAAUGAAACCUACCUUGCUGUUUCACGUUGAGGAAUCACUGCGGGAAGAGACAGAAUCCACCGUGUUGCCCAGGCUGGCCUCAAACUCCUGGACUGAAGGAAUCCUCCCACUUCAGCCUCCCAAGUAGCAGGACUACAGGUGUGCACCAUCAAGCCCGACCAUCACAAUUUUCUAAUAAAUUCCCAGGCUGAUAUAAUUAUUGAACGUGAAAGAGUAAAUACAGAUAGGUGACAAAACCAAAUUGGAGGUUGAGAUUAUCUUGCCCAGUCCAGAUCCUGCUUUCAAACAAGAUUUGGGAUAUUGUCUCAGAGAAUUCCCAACAAACAUAGAAUGAAAUAAAAUCCAGAUGAGAGAAACAAAUAAAGAGCUAUGAGAAAGCAAACGAGGAGGUGGUCAUGUCUGUGAGAAAGUUCUGAGAACACUUUCACAGAGAAGAUAAUAGUGGAGCAAGGGGCAUGGACCCCACUGGUUCUGCCUUACGUGGUCCCAGAAGCAGCCUAGCUUAACAAUUCGUAGAUUCUCAGUAAGAAGUUGUUGAAUUUAUAAUGGAAGGAAGGAUGAAGAGAUAAGAGCUAAAGUUGUACUCUUAGAAAAUAUCUAUAUCUAGAGGGCAAAAGAAGGAAAAGGAAGACAACAAGAAGAGGAAAGUAAAUAGAAAACUAGGCAUAGUAUGAAGGGAUGUCAAAGAGAAUUUGGUGGGCAGUAUUUUCUAACGCUGUAGAAUAAUGCUACUUAAAGUACGGUCCUCAGAUGAGUAACGUAAGUAUUAACUAGGAACCUGCUGAAAAUACAAAUCCUUGGCCCAUCCUAGACCUACUAUAUCAGAGUCUCUUGGAGUGGGGGCGCAGAAUCUGUGUUUAAUGAGCUCUCAAAGUGAUCUUUAUGCAUAUUAAAGUUUAAGAAAAAACGUGGCAUAUUUCUGGAAGAUAAGUUGCUACUGACAGAACUCAAGUUUCUGAUUCUUAGAACCAAAUUCUUGCAAUCUCCUAGGAUCUUCCCAGAAUUAAGUCGCAGGGAAAUUACUGUAUUAAAUUGCUAAUGUAUAAAUGGUUCAAGGUAAAUAGCUUAUUGCAUGCUUUAUUUUAAAAUCUUUCUUUCAUUGUAAUGUCCCACUUCAGUUAGAGUGAAAAGGAAAACAGCAUUAAACUUCCUCAGUUAAUAAUACCUGAAAACCACUCUGGUAUAUUAUUAAACAACUCAGUUCACCUCCGUCAGCUACAGCCUCAAGAAAAAUUACAAAAUGUUUUGAAUUAAACAAAAAUGAAAAUACAACAUCUC